rnacentral:lncRNA from 1 species
GGGAAAAGAUUGCUUAGAAUUCAAGCCAGAGAGAUGGAUAACUGAAAAAGGAGACAUUAAACAUGAACCUUCAUACAAGUUUACGGCUUUUAAUGCAGGGCCAAGAGCUUGUUUAGGAAAGGAUAUGGCUUUCACUCAAAUGAAGAUUCUUGCGACGACCAUCAUACAUCGUUAUAGUAUUCAGGUGGUUGCAGGUCAUCCUAUAGUCCCAAAAGGUUCUGUUAUUCUGGAAAUGAAAUAUGGAUUCAGAAUCAGGGUGGAAAAACGAAGUGAGGGCAAGUAAUUGCAUCACAAGAAUGAACCGCCUGUUCUCUAUGUCAAAAUCUAGUCGUAAUAUGUAAGUUGUUUGUUAAUCUUUCAAUAAUAAUUGUUAAAGACACGGCAACUUGAAGUCAUAUCGACAUUGAAACACCUUAACAAUAUAAUUGUUAAAAACAUAGUAAUAAUUAUCGUUGCUAUAUGCAUUUAAAUACACAGGAAGUCAUAUCAAUAAUUAUCGUUGCCAUAUGCAUCUAAAUACACUUGAAGUCAUAUCGACUUUAAAACACCUUAACAAUAUAAUUGUUAUAAAACAUAGUAAUAAUUAUUGUUGCCAUAUGCAUCUAGAUACACUUGAAGUCACAUCGACAUUGAAACACCUUAACAAUAUAAUGAUACGUAAAACUUGCACAUAUGCAUUAUUUAACUAUGAUUGGGUAUGAGAUCAUGUUCGGGUUUUUCUCUACACUUUUAAAUUUGAAUCCCAAUUUGUAUGCAAAUUUUCAAAAAGUGUAUAGACUUAAUACCAGAUUUUUAAUGUGAAAGUUGAGAAUCAUGUCACUCUCGGAAGACUUAAAAACAAUCAUUUUUAUGUCCAAGUCUAAUUCAAAUUGAUCGCUCGAUAGUCACUUGUAUAUUCGCAUGCAUAUAUAGCUUAUUAUUAUUGAAGAGAAAUAGAGAAGAACCUGGAGCGAGAGUAAGUUUUAGCAAAACUUCGGCGGGAGAAACACCCAACGCCGGGGAAGUAUGCGCCAAAGAUCAUCACUAUUGCUGUGCUGUGCAGGGUUAGCUGAUUUCUUACUUAGUUAAUUAUCAAGUAGCGAGAUAGGCAGGCCCAUUGCCAAGCCCAAUUACUACGGGCCUUAUGUCCACCAGCCCAGUCUGAGAUAAUCCAAAUUUUCAAAUACUCAAGUUUAAAAAGUAUUUCAAUCCAUCCUCCGCGACAAAUUUGGGUUUUAUAUGAAAAACUCCAUCAUUUUUCAUAUUAAAAAUUUUAUAGUAUAUGUUUUUAAAAUGUAAGUAUUUUUGAAAUAAAAAUAAAACUACUUCAAAAGUCAUGGAAAAAUAUUUACAGCAUGUAUGUUUGUAUAUGAUAUAAUUGUCCAAUAAUUUGUGUUAUACAAAAUUAUGAUAUUAUUCAUUAAAAAAUUGAUAUCUUAUUUUAUAAUCCCCGUCUCAUUUUAGUUGUCACAUUGCUAUUUUUGUUGGUUGAAUUGACUAAGUUUUGACCAAAGAUUAUAAGUGACUCGUUCAUUAUUUUAAAAACUGAAAAUUACAUAUUAAAGUAGGUUCAAAGUUAUCUCUGGUGACUUUUUUUUUAUUUUUUCAAUUGAUAAUUAAUAUUAAUAAAUUCCAGUCAAAUUUUGUAAAUUUGACCGGCACAAAAUCAAAUGUGACAACUAUACAAACGGAUGGCGGGAGUAGUAUAAGAGUUAAGUUCCUUGAUGCUUUGUUUCAGUGGAGUUGGGAGUCCUCCGAGCUCAUUCGUAAAUAAAUGACUGAGCGGAGGGAGUAUGAGUUUGUACCUGUACACGAAGAGGUGUAGUUGAGCAUCAUAUAAACCCUAGAGAAGUGAGAACGCAGGAUGACUAGCAAUUUCUUUAAUAGCUUCGUGUCUUGUAGUAUUGAACUACAGUUGAACCUUUUUAAAGCAAUACUCCUCGGACCAGGAAAAAAUAUUACUUUAUCGAAUUUCUAUAUGUUUACAAAUUAUAAUUCAUUGUUUUUAAAAACAAGAAUCAGUCACAUGCGAUGUAUUUGAUUUAAAAUUACUUUUAUAAUAUUUAAUCAUAUGUGAAACUAAAUUCAUGCAUGCACUAGACGAUAAUAAUGUCAUCCCAAGCGUGUAAUCAAAAGAAGCACUUCAAGCAAUCAACACUUUAAACAAUUACUUGUUACAACAUGAGCAAAACAUACCGGGAGUUAUUUAUGCUUUACAUAAAGUCAAUGAUGAGGUUAGUUUUGGCCUUGGUGGAAAGAAAAAACAAGCUAUUAUAGAUUCAUAUUUUAAAAAGAACUGAAUUUUGUAAUUCAUAUACAUUAUGUAUAUAUAUAAUGGGUCGCGCUCAAGGGAGAACCACUCCUUAAAAUAGAACCAUAGAACCACUAGGGUUCUGCUGCAGAACCCUAAAUUUUAAAUAGAUUUUUAGGAUCUAAAUUUAAAUACAUGUUUUUUUUCAUGUUUUUUCAUCGUUGUGUGUGUUCAAAAAUAAUUUAAAAAUAUAAUCCAUAGAUAUUGACAUUUUUUUUGUGAAGUUCUGCUGUAGAACCCCAACUCAUACUUAAGUUCUGCUGCAGAACCCUUACCCAAUAAGGUAAGGGUUCUAUGGUUCUUUCUCUAAUGGUUCUCUCUGGAACAUGACCCUAUAUAUAAUUCAUGAAUUAUUACUUUACAUAUUACCAUGCGCCUUUAAUGAAUUUCUAAAUAUUUAUUAUCUUAUACUUUUAGCAAAAAUAUUACUUUACAACAUUGGCCAAGUUGUAACCGACAAAAUUUAUUACUUAAGUGAGGUUAUUACUUUAUCGGAUAUUAAUUAAUCGAGGUUUAACUGUAUGCCUUUCUUCCCUGUACCUGAGUGCUUUAGAAACUCCAAAAAAUUAUCGAAAUGAAUUAGAAUGAUAUUGCACCACAAGAAACUGAACUUAAUUACUGCAUCGCUGAACUUAAUCACUGCAUUACUGGAAUUUUUAAAACCGGAAGCAAUAUGUUGGAUUUAGGUUAAGCAUGUGCGGCUGGUUUGAGACCGUCUUCUCAUUUAUAAUCGCUUAUCUGAAGUAAUAAGUAUGUGAUUAAUUGUUUUAUAAAAUUUGACUUUAUAAAAAUGUAUAAGAUAAUUUCAAAAUUACUUUAUAACAUUUUAUAAUUAUAUUGAUAAAAUAUUUAUACGCAAUAAGUUGUAAAGAUCCAAAAAGUUAUCCUAACACAUAAAUUAAAAACACAUAAAUUAAAAGUUAAUUUAUAAUUAUAAACAAUUUCCCCCAUAUACUACUUUUAAAUUAAGCCACCUAUAAGAGCAAGCCCAAUGCAAUUCCUUAUUUUCAACCCCUAAAAUAUUAUAUAAUAAUGGUUACCUAAAAUAUAGGAGACCAAAAAGUUGUUUUGCUCCAAUGGUAUUCCCUAUAUUGAUCCCCUGUAGCAGUGGUAAAUGACAGAAAAACAAGAGGAUAUAUGAGCUGGCGAUGACAUGGAGAAUAUAGGGGUUUGCUUUUUCAUCCCUCAAAUAAGGGGUUGAAAUUUCUCUCACCUAAAAUAAAUGAGGGAUAGGGAGUUGCGUUGGAGUUGUGUUUUUUGUUCUCAAUCCUCAAAUAUUGUCCAUGUAGACUAAAUAUAGGUAAGGAGUGGGUGCAUUGGAGUUGCUCUAAUUUACAUCUAUCAUCCCAAAAACCCGAACUAUAUAGUAGUAUGAAUGUAUGAUACUGUUGUUUUCUGAAAUCUCCUGAAAAGGUUCACUUGCUAGUUGCUACUUAUUAAUAGUCAGCCAAUGUCGCCGAUUACACAACGAGCUGACCCCGUCAAACUCAGCCACAAUUUGCCACCAGACUUCCCGAAGACCUGUACUAGAAUGUCACUGCUACGUACCUACCUCCCUGAGUCCAUACUCCAUACUACAAGAGCCUGACAGCCUGCCUGGCUAUGACAUAUUAUCCGCUAAAAUAUUAAUAACGAUAUGAAAUAUGAUUCAGCUGUCCAGCGACUCCCUCACCGUCUCGACAUUCAUGAAUUCAACCUUCUCCUCUAAUUUCCACCAGCAGGUUGCAAAAUCAGUUAAUCUUCGGUAUGGGGGUCUUUUUAUCAGUGGGCUCAGGAAAGAUCUUUUUGGUCUUCUGGUCAUUUAAGUUCUAAAAGAACCGGAAAGAUACGCAACCAAUUAACAAGGGAAGAUCUCAAUAAAGUUGAGUGAUGUUUACAUGUAACAAGAUACUACAGAAGACUUGUCUAAUGUACUUACUCUUUAUAGGUAUCAAGUUCAGCUCUUGCAGUUAAAGCACAAAUAGUUAGUUUUUUUUCUUUCUGAAAUAACUAAACUUAUCAAUCGCCAACUUUAGCUUGAAUUGCCUCUGCAACUUAAGCAAAUAAGUCAAGUAUGAAUCUGACUUCAUUACUUAUCUACUUCAACUUCUACAUACAAUUUCACGUAUUGUAAUAUUAACGCGACUCAAUCUGCAAAACAAAAUCUAUCGUUUUACUGUCAGGCAAACAAGUUCAACAUUUAAAUACAGCAUCUGAGACUGCAACUAAGAUUAGAACGCAUCUGAGACUGCAACUAAGAUUAGAACAUAUAAGUAGGAAUAUGUUAAUGUUAACAGAUGGAAGUGGGUGCAAUUAAGAUUAGAACAUAUAAGUAGGAAGUGGCUAUGACAUAUUAUCCGCUAAAAAUAUUAAUAAAUAUAAUUCAGCUGUCCAGCGACUCCCCCACUCUCUCUGACAUUCAUGAAUUCAACCUUCUCCCUUAAUUUCCACCAGCAGGUUUCAAAAUCACUUAAUCUUCGAUAUGGGGGCCUUUUUAUCAAUCGGCUCAAGGAAGAACUUUUUGGUCUUUGGAAGCCCGAGUGAUAAUGAAAAUACUCAGAUCUGUUUCCCCAUGAAAGCAAAUCAAUGUAACAAAGUUGCGUAUAUAUUCACUUCAAGGCAUACCUAAUUACCAACCAGAGUAUUUAACAAGCUCGCUACUGCACCUGAUGGGAGCGGCUGUAUUUAAAAGAAGAUGACAGCAAACCUGCCAGAGUACGACAACCGAAAGCAUAUCUCUCACAAGCACGACAGCUGAGAGCAUAAACGUCAAGUUGAUGAGGACACCCUUACCAGAAAGGGUGUACAUAGGUAUGCAUUAAACGAGAUGUGCAUAGGUAAGGUUUAGAGAUGGUCCAUAUGCCUUCUACAGAUCUUUAUGUUCUCAAAGAGUAGCUACCAAUUGCUAAGUUCUCAAACAGUAUAAACAACUCUUCCCACGAAAGAUAUUUUAAAGUGUUACAAAUAGAAAGUAAAACAAAAUCAGUCAAUAUGAUCCAAGCGGUGCUGCAUUAACUGCAAGAUGUACUUGACUUCUUGAGUAAGGAUCAGAACUGCUUUAUAUAUUGCUACCAAUUGCUGAUUUCUUAAACAUUUUAUACACAAAACAAAACCUCCAAGAUGGCUAUCAAUACAGCUAUGAACCUUGUCUUUCUCCCUCUGUCCAUAGUAAUAUUUCUCUACUUCUGUAUAAUUUGCAUACGCAAAGCUCCUUUGUUAACCAAUUGGCCCCUUGUGGGCAUGACACCCGGCUUGCUUAAGAAUGCUCAUAGAAUACACGACUUUGUUACAUGCCUUCUUCAACAAAGCCACCAUAAUUUUCAAUUCUAUGGACCUUUUCAAGCAAACAUGGACUUGCUUUUCACUUGCGAUCCUGCUAAUGUUAACUACAUCCUGAGCAAGAAUUUCACCAAUUAUCCCAAAGGCCCUGAGUUUGGAAAGAUUUUUGAUAUUCUUGGAGAGGGGAUCUUUAGUUCAGAUGGCCAUCUUUGGGAAGUUCAACGCAGAACUACCUUGUCAAUCUUCAAUCAUGCCCAGUUUUAUGAUAUGCUACAAAAGACCGUGGGGGAAAAGAUAGAAAAAGCACUGAUUCCACUACUUGAUCAUGUGUCUAAGCAUGGAAUCGAGGUGGAUUUGCAGGACAUAUUACAGAGACUUGCUUUCGAUAACAUAUGUUCCUUGCUUUUAGACCAUGACCUACAGAGUCUCUCCCUUGAUUUACCGUACAUUCCUUACCAGAAGGUUAUCCCAGAUGUUGAACAGGCGCUGCUUUAUAGACACUUAGUUCCUGAAAGCAUUUGGAAGCUACAAAGAUGAAUUGGAUUUAGCACAGAAAAAAGUCUAAGCAAAGCUCGGGAAACUAUUGAUGAAUUUAUAUAUACAUGCAUAUCCAUGAAGCGCAAACAAGUGGCACUUAAAAAUUCUGAUCACAUAUCUGCAGAAUUAGAUCUGUCAGCAGCGUACAUGGAAUUAGCAUACAAGGAAAACCCGGAAAAUCCUGAUAAAUUUUUCAGGGACGCUUUGGUUAAUAUGAUGGUUGGUGCGAGAGAUACAACUAGUACAGCACUUUCUUGGUUUUUCUGGCUUCUUUGGAAAAACCCAAUAACAGAAUCUAAGAUUCUACAGGAGAUCAAAACAAAUUUCAAUACAGAAGAUCUUAAAAGUUGCAAUCUUUUUAAGAAAAGGGAAGAGAUGCAUAAACUGGUUUAUCUGCAUGCAGCCUUGUGCGAGUCUUUAAGACUCUUCCCUCCAGCUCCUUUCAAUCACAAGGCUCCAAAACAAGCAGACGUUCUUCCAAGUGGCCAUCGGGUGGGCAAAAACUCAAAGAUCGUGUUGUCUUUUUAUUCGAUGGGAAGAAUGGAAGGCAUAUGGGGAAAAGAUUGCUUAGAGUUCAAGCCAGAGAGAUGGAUAACUGAAAAAGGAGGGAUUAAACAUGAACCUUCAUACAAGUUUACGGCUUUUAAUGCAGGGCCAAGAGCUUGUUUAGGAAAGGACAUGGCGUUCACUCAAAUGAAGAUUCUUGCCACGACUAUCAUACAUCGUUACAGUAUUCAGGUGGUUACAGGUCAUCCUAUAGUCCCAAAAGAUUCUGUUGUUCUGGAAAUGAAAUAUGGAUUGAGAAUCAGGCUGGAAAAAAGAAGCUGAGGGCAAGUAAUUGCAUCACAAGAAUGAACCAAGAAUGAACCACUUGUGCUCUAUGUCACAAUCUAGUCGUAAUAUAUAUAUAUAGAACUAUCGUUGCCAUAUGCAUCUGGACUCACUUGAAGUCCCAUCGACAUUGAAACGCCUUAGCAAUAUAUUGAUAUGUAAGACUAGCACAAAUAUGUGUUUGAAAUAAAAUGGCUAACAUACACCAAGGGCGGUGUAUGAGUGCUGUAGCAUAUUGAUAUAUUUCCUUUUCCCUCAACUGCACUUGUUUCCUUUUCCCUCG